UUAACUAAAACCAAAAAAGAGGUAUUUCACUGUUAAUGAAAUUAUUGAUUUAAAAAUCUAGUUAAA
rnacentral:tRNA from 1 species